AAAAAGAGGCAGAGGGUGUAUUAACGUGAUAUUUGUGGUAUAAAAAAAAAGAAGAAAAAAAAAAGUUGUUAGUCUUUGGAGACUGUCGUAUAAAAUGACAAUAAUAAGAGAGUGGUAUCCGGGUUGUUGGGAUCUUUCAUGGGCAUCAAUAACAUUCGUUACCGGGAUUACCACGAGAUUUCCUGACAAAACUAACCACCAAGGUAUAUACAACUAUUGUUGUUGUUGUUGUUGUUGUUGGUGCUGCUGUAAGGGGGUCAAUAAGGGUCAGCGUACACUGAAAAAAUUUCUAGUCUUGAGUCUCGAGUCGGGUCCCAAUGUCGUCUGGAAGAAGAACAAGAAGAAAAAGAAGAGAGUCAGUAGAGUUUUGCGGUGGAACAAGUGAUCCCUGGAUGUCUCACCGAGUCACGAACCACCGAACCACCGAACCAACGAACCAACGAACCACCAAAGAGGAAGAAAGUGUAACUGGUGAGGUAGAGGAGUAGGUGGUGGUACUCCAGUGCCGAUGGGAGAACGAACGGUCGAGAGUAACGCCAGGAUAUUGAAAUUUCCCUCUACGGAAGUAUUUUUCUUGUUUUAUUUUUUUUUCCUCCCUUUUUUACUCGAGCUCCUUCACUCUUUAUCUCUUUUUUAUUAUUUUUAUUUCCAUUUUGUUCCUCCUCUGUACUUAUUAUAAGUAACUUCUGGUUUUAUCGUUUUGCCUUUCAUUGAGUGUGGAAAAAAUUAUACCAACGGGG